rnacentral:snRNA from 1 species
GUGCUUGCUUUGACAGCGCAUAUAUUAAAAUUGGAAUUCUACAAAUAAGAUUUGCAUGGCCCCUGUGCAAGGAUGACACACAAACUUGUGAAGCAUCCCAUACUUUU